GGAAGUAAUCCUAACACUGUGAGAUGGGCCCGCGGCGCAUUAGCUAGUUGGUGGGGUAAUGGCCCACCAAGGCGACGAUGCGUAGCCGACCUGAGAGGGUGAUCGGCCACACUGGAACUGAGACACGGUCCAGACUCCUACGGGAGGCAGCAGUAGGGAAUCAUCCGCAAUGGGCGAAAGCCUGACGGUGCAACGCCGCGUGAACGAUGAAGGUCUUCGGAUUGUAAAGUUCUGUUGUUAGGGAAGAACAAGUACCAUUCGAAUAGGGUGGUACCCUGACGGUACCUAACCAGAAAGCCCCGGCUAACUACGUGCCAGCAGCCGCGGUAAUACGCAGGGGGCAAGCGUUGUCCGGAAUUAUUGGGCGUAAAGCGCGCGCAGGCGGUCCUUUAAGUCUGAUGUGAAAGCCCACGGCUCAACCGUGGAGGGUCAUUGGAAACUGGGGGACUUGAGUGUAGGAGAGGAAAGUGGAAUUCCACGUGUAGCGGUGAAAUGCGUAGAUAUGUGGAGGAACACCAGUGGCGAAGGCGACUUUCUGGCCUAUAACUGACGCUGAGGCGCGAAAGCGUGGGGAGCAAACAG
rnacentral:rRNA from 1 species